rnacentral:rRNA from 1 species
GACGAACGCUGGCGGCGUGCCUAAUACAUGCAAGUCGAACGCAGUGGGGACGGGUGAGUAACCCGUGGGUAACCUCCCAUCAGAGGGGAAAACACUUGGAAACAGGUGCUAAACCGAUACUGAUGGAUGGACCCUCGGUGCAUUAGCUAGCUGGUGAGGUAACGGCUCACCAAGGCCACGAUGCAUAGCCGACCUGCGAGGGGGACCGGCAAGAAUGGGACGGAUACACGGCCCAGACUCCAACGGGAGGCACCAGUGGGGAAUGUGCGGCAAUGGACGAAAGUCUGACCGGGCAACGCCGGGGGAGUGAAGAAGGUUUUCGGAUCGUAAAGCUCGGGUGUUAGAGAAGCGGUAUCUAACCAGAAAGCGACGGCUAACUACGUGCCAGCAGCCGCGGUAAUAC